GAUGAACGCUGGCGGCGUGCCUAAUACAUGCAAGUCGAGCGAACAGAUAAGGAGCUUGCUCCUUUGACGUUAGCGGCGGACGGGUGAGUAACACGUGGGUAACCUACCUAUAAGACUGGGAUAACUUCGGGAAACCGGAGCUAAUACCGGAUAACAUUUGGAACCGCAUGGUUCUAAAGUGAAAGAUGGUUUUGCUAUCACUUAUAGAUGGACCCGCGCCGUAUUAGCUAGUUGGUAAGGUAACGGCUUACCAAGGCAACGAUACGUAGCCGACCUGAGAGGGUGGUCGGCCACACUGGAACUGAGACACGGUCCAGACUCCUACGGGAGGCAGCAGUAGGGAAUCUUCCGAAAUGGGCGAAAGCCUGACGGAGCAACGCCGCGUGGGUGAUGAAGGGUUUCGGCUCGUAAAACUCUGUUAUUAGGGAAGAACAAACGUGUAAGUAACUGUGCACGUCUUGACGGUACCUAAUCAGAAAGCCACGGCUAACUACGUG
rnacentral:rRNA from 1 species